CGGGAACAGCACGGGGACAGCACGGGGACAGCCGCCGCCGCGCCGAGCCGCAGCUCUCCCGGCUCUCCCGUCCGCCGCUGCAGAAUGAGUUUUAAACCUUCAAAAUCAAGACAAGAUUUUUCCUAUUGAGUGACACAAGGUGAAUCUAGGACAAAAAGACGGAACAAACAGAAAAUGAGUUUAUAAUGAAGUCACUUGAGAAUAUGAUUCUACUGUGGUAUAUUGGAUACAGCUCUAGAUCAGCCACCCUCCCUCUUGGAUUUUAUUGAUCCUUUGGAAGAGUAAAGGAUGGAUGAAGAAGAGUGCAAACAAGAAAUACCUGUAACUUCAAUACUGUUAAGGAAGCUUACUUGAAUAACUGUGAUUUUAUGCAUACUGGUUGCCUUGAUCAUGUCUCUUCAGUUCACGGCGUAUGGAUCUUCAGGGCAGCAGAUUUUCCUCUCUCUUUUCCAUUCAGAACCGGGGGAUAUUUCCUAAAGGAAAGUCUCUGCACAGUAACCAGCACCCUCUUGUGUUCACGGCGUGCAGAGGCGAAACCCAGUGCCAAGUAACUCCGGAUGACUCCGGAGCUUCAUCCUGGAGCACCUCCCAAAGCCCCAACCCUGACAUAACAGCAGGAACCUGAAGUCUCAUGUAUGUUUCUCCAGUAGCUGCUGGCUAUUGCCCAGACAGGAAAGCAGUAAUUAGCACGGCUAUAUGUACCUAACGUUAACUUUCUCAAACAGUCAGAAAUAUUCAAUCUGAACAAGUUCUUUGUUUGGAGCUACCACUGCCCUUCCAAGAAGCUUGGAUGUCUCUCAAAAUAGAGUUUACACCAUGUCUUCAACAGAAGCCAGGAAGUUCUCAAUGGCUCUUCAGAUCUCCAAUGCCUUACUCAGUUAAGGAUUUAUGAGACAGAAAUAGCACUAGAAAUAGUGUAAUAGCAAUGAAAUGGCAUAAGUAAAUCCAAAUCAGAACAAAUAUGCAAUUUGGCUAGGGUACAGUACUAGUAUCUAAAUAAAAGAACAACUGAUGCAACCACCAGUGUAUCAGUUCUCCAGCCACAAAACUGUCCCUGAAGUGCGUUGUUGUUGUUGUUGUUGUCCUGUUUGUACAGAAAUUCAGAACUGCAUACAGUUUUCAUGCAGCUCUCUUCAGAAACUACGCAACAGCUGCAGGGUUUAAUUCCUGAGGGAGUGGAACAAAGC